GCGCGCUGGGCCGGCGGUUUCCGGCGCGCCGUCCGCCUGAGCGUGUCCGACGCCGGCCCGCCCGCCGCGCGCCCCCCGCCGUUGGCGCCGGCAUGUCGGGCCCCGGGCCGCGGGAGCCGCCGCAGGCGCAGGCGGGCGGGCCGGCGGGCCCCGAGGGCGCGGACGCGGCGCUGGGCGAGGCGGGACUGAGCUUCACGACCACCGACCUGAGCCUGGUGGAGAUGACGGAGGUCGAGUACACGCAGCUGCAGCACAUCCUCUACUCGCACAUGGAGGCGGCGGCCGAGGGCGAGCUCGAGACGCGCCUCAACUCGGCCUUCCUAGCGGCGGGGGGCGCGGCGGCGGCGGGGGGCCCGGCGGCGGCGGCGGCGGGCGGGGGCGCGGCGCCCGUGUACCCGCUGCUGUGCCCGCCGGCGCUGGCCGACGGCGGCUUCGCGGGCGCCAACCCGUGCCUGGGCCACAUCGACUUCCAGGAGCUGCGCAUGAUGCUGCUGAGCGAGGCGGGCGCGCCCCCCGCCGCCGCUGCCGCCGAGAAGACGCCGGGCGCCGACGGCCCGGGCCCCGGCGCAGCGCGGCCCAAGGCGCCCGACGCCGCCGGCAAGGAGAACGCGGAGGGCGCUGGCGAGGCGCGGGCCAAGUCGGCGGUGCGCGUCCGCCUGGAGGACCGCUUCAACAGCAUCCCCGCCGAGCCCCCGCCCGCCCCGCGCGGCGCCGAGCCCCCCGAGCCCGGCGUGGCGCUCAACAAUUUGGUGACUCUUAUUCGACAUCCAUCUGAGUUAAUGAACGUUCCUCUUCAGCAACAAAACAAAUGCACAGCGUUAGUGAAAAAUAAGACCGCCGCCGCCGCCACGACCCUGCAGCUCACCUACCCCCUGUUCACUGCGAACGCCUGCUCCUCUGGAGGGGGCACCAGCCUCUCUCAGACUCAGAGCUCUAAUAACUCCUGUUCUAUACUUGAGGCUGCCAAACAUCAGGAUAUUGGAUUGCCGAGAGCAUUCUCCUUCUGUUACCAACAAGAGAUUGAGUCCACGAAGCAGACUUUAGGCAGUAGAAACAAAGCUUUGCCCGAGCAGGUUUGGAUUAAAGUGGGAGAAGAAGCGCUGUGCAAACAAGCGAUAAAUAAGAGGAAUCGGAGUAGGAUACGGCAGUUGGACGCCAGUGUGGAGCGAAGAGCCCUCGGAGAGAUUCAGAACGUGGGCGAAGGUGCCACCACCGCCCAGGGCUCCUGGCAGUCUGCAGAGUCAUCGCAGUCUCAUCUUGGGGAGCAGUCCCAGAGCGCCCCGGGCGGAAGGUCACAGCGCAGGGAAAGGCACAACCGCAUGGAGAGGGACAGGAGGCGCAGAAUCCGCAUUUGCUGUGAUGAGUUGAAUCUUUUGGUCCCGUUCUGCAACGCCGAGACAGAUAAGGCCACGACCCUGCAGUGGACCACUGCGUUCCUAAAGUACAUUCAGGAGCGCCAUGGAGAUUCUCUUAAGAAGGGAAUCAACAGUAGAGUAGAAGAUUCUGAGAAUCAAAUCAACCAUUUGAAAUAUGUGGAAGCAAAAAACAACCAAUCAGAGGAGCAAAAAGAAUCCAAAAAUUUGAAGAUAAUAUAAGGAGCCUUUGGGACAACUUCAAGCAUACCAACACUUGCAUUAUGGGGGUGCCAGAAGGAGAAGAGAGAGCAAGAUAUUUAAAACCUAUUUGAAGAGAACUUCCCCUACCUGAUGAAAGAAAUAGACUUACAAGUCCAGGAAGUGCAGAGAGUCCCAAACAAGGAACCCAAAGAGGCCCCACACCAAGACACCUCAUAAUUAAAAUGCCAAGGGUUAAAGACAAAGAGAAAAAAUUAAAAGCAGCAAGAGAAAAGCAGUUCCUUCAAGGGAGUGCCCAUAUGACUGUCAGCUGAUUUCUCAACAAAAACUUUGCAGGCCAGAAGGGGAGUAGCAAGAAAUAUUAAAGUGAUGAAUAGCAAGGACCUACAACCAAGAUUAUCCAGCAAAGCUAUCGUUUAGAAUUGAGGUCAGAUAAAAAGCUUCACAGACAAGAAAAAGCUAAAGUUCAUCUCCACCAAACCAGUAUUACAUGAAAUGUUGAAGGGUAUUCUUUAAGAAAAGAAGAAAGGAAAAGAAAAAGAUAAAAAAUAUGAACAAUAAAAUGGCAAUAUAUACAUAUCUGUCAACAAUUGAAUCUAAAAAAAUAAGGAAUCUAAUGAACAAAAUAGAAUCAGAGGUAUGGAAACAUGGAACAGACUGACGAAUCUCAGAGGAAAGGGGUAUUUACCCCAAAGAAUUGAAAGCAGGAACCCAAAUGGAUACUUGUAUGAAAAUGUUCACAACAGCAUCAUUCACAACGGGCAAAAUGUGCUCUGUCCACACAAAGCACUGUUACUCAGCCAUAAAAAUGAAGGAAGUCCUGACAACUGCGACAUGGAGGGACCUGGAAGACAUAAGUAACAUCAGCCAGUCACAGAGGACAAGUCCUGGGAUUCCACUUACAUGAGGGCCUAGAGGAGCCACAUUCACAGAGACAGAGACCCCUAGCAAGAUGUGACGUAAGUUUGGGAACCAGUGACCCAGGUACAUGCCCUUGACCGGAAUGGAACCCAGAGCUUUCUGGUGCUCGGGCUGACGCUCUAACCACUGACCCACGUUGGCCAGGGCUAACUGUAUAUUUUGAAGAAUUUGAGAGCGUGUUUUGCGGGAAAACUGGCAGGAGGCUAAAGUUGACCAGACCAGACUCCCUGGCGCCGUGCCCUGCGCAGGAGAGUCUACAGAGCAGCCCUGCCAUGGAGAUCAAGUGAGCGGACUGGACACUGGUUCCUGGAAGCAGGCGGCCUCUGCCCGGCCGUGGGCGUGUCCCAGCCUGGAGCUCUGCGCCAGCCGCCCACUCUCGAGGGACAUGACUCAAGUUGGAACUCCAGUGGGGACUUUGAAAGCACAUUUUGUAAAAAUAUUUAGAACAAAAUAUAAAACAAAAUAUUUGUCCAUUACUGUCCUCUUAGACCAUUGGGAUGCAGACACUGUGACAAUUAGUAAUUUUUCAAUUAUCUGUCUGAUUCCAUCAUGUUUUCUUAACAUGAUAACUUAAAAAAUGAACACCCUUUGUAAUUUCUUUAGUCUCACAGGUACACUGCUUUUUACUUAUUUCCUUUACAUUUAAAAAUGCCCCCUUAGCAAUUGGAAAGGUCAAAAUGUUCUUCACUAGAAGUAGUUUGGAAAUUCAUUUCAUUUGUUUAUCGCCUCCCCUUGCAACGACUUCCAGUCACAUGGACUGCAUUGCAGAAUUUUGCUAGGAAACUUCCAGAGACAUCUUUAAAGCUCCUUUGUCCAUAGAUGAGAUGUUGUCACCGUGGGCUGCUCUGGUGACCUCACUUUCACACUGAGUCAGUACUUCAUGUAAUAAACUAUUGUUCAGAACUGA